UACGGACAUUUCAUCUUGAAGCACCGGUUCUCAUACGAUCAACAAAGUUAAGCAACGCCGUACUUGAUCAGUACCUACAUGGGUGACCGCUUGGGAAUACGAAGGGAUUGUAA